GGAGAGGUAGCUCAGUGGCAGAGCACCUGCCCAGCAAUCAUGAAGCCCUGGGUUCAAUCCCCGGCCCUGCAA
rnacentral:tRNA from 1 species